UCGAGGGGCAGCGGGGAGGUAGCAAUACUUUCGCCGGCGACCGGCGCACUGGUGAGUAACACGUAUGGAACCUGCCCGUAGCAGGGGGAUAAGCGGAAGAAAUUCCGUCUAAUACCGCGUAAUAACUCCGAGAGGCAUCUCAUGGAGUUUAAAGGGUAACACCGGCUACGGAUGGCCAUGCGGCGCAUUAGCUAGUUGGCGGGGUAACGGCCCACCAAGGCGACGAUGCGUAGGGGUUCUGAGAGGAAGGUCCCCCACACUGGUACUGAGACACGGACCAGACUCCUACGGGAGGCAGCAGUGAGGAAUAUUGGUCAAUGGGCGCGAGCCUGAACCAGCCAAGUCGCGUGAGGGAAGACGGUCCUAUGGAUUGUAAACCUCUUUUGUCGGGGAGCAAAAGACGCCACGCGUGGCGUUCCGAGAGUACCCGAAGAAAAAGCAUCGGCUAACUCCGUGCCAGCAGCCGCGGUAAUACGGAGGAUGCGAGCGUUAUCCGGAUUUAUUGGGUUUAAAGGGUGCGCAGGCGGAAGAUCAAGUCAGCGGUAAAAUUGAGAGGCUCAACCUCUUCGAGCCGUUGAAACUGGUUUUCUUGAGUGAGCGAGAAGUAUGCGGAAUGCGUGGUGUAGCGGUGAAAUGCAUAGAUAUCACGCAGAACUCCGAUUGCGAAGGCAGCAUACCGGCGCUCAACUGACGCUCAUGCACGAAAGUGUGGGUAUCGAACAGGAUUAGAUACCCUGGUAGUCCACACAGUAGACGAUGAAUACUAAUUGUUCGGAGAGAAUGAUCCCUGAGUG
rnacentral:rRNA from 1 species